UACGAAGGGGGCUAGCGUUGCUCGGAAUGACUGGGCGUAAAGGGCGCGUAGGCGGAUGGCACAGUCAGAUGUGAAAUUCCCGGGCUUAACCUGGGGGCUGCAUUUGAUACGUGUUGUCUAGAGUGAGGAAGAGGGUUGUGGAAUUCCCAGUGUAGAGGUGAAAUUCGUAGAUAUUGGGAAGAACACCGGUGGCGAAGGCGGCAACCUGGUCCUUUACUGACGCUGAGGCGCGAAAGCGUGGGGAGCAAACAGGAUUAGAUACCCGUAGUA
rnacentral:rRNA from 1 species